UGUUAGGUUGAAGUAUCGCGAAUAAAUGUGUCAGAACUUAUAAAAUGAGACUUCUUUUUAUCUUGACUGCAAUUUUAUUAGCUUUAAUGAUGGUUAAUCUGUUAGUGCAAACCAUUGGUAUGGUCUUUGCGGCCAAGUUUUUUUUAAAGCAUCGGUGCUAUUCUAACAAAGGAUAUUGUAAUGAGCCUAAAGGAAAAGCAAAACCUUCAGGGUAAUCUUCACAAGUUCAACUGAAGUAAAGGCACCAACCGAUAAAAUUCGACACAAAGAUUCUGUUCUUACUGUGUUAACUAAAGUUUGCCUUCAGAGAUCACCAAUAGCAGACCAUUUAUUUAUAGUAUAUAGCAACCAUAUUUAUAUAAGUUCUAAUAAACAAUGCUUUAAAAUUAAAAAUUAAUAAGAA